rnacentral:lncRNA from 1 species
CACCUCACCACCCUCUCUCCUGUCUCUUCCCAAGUCACCCUCCGUCCCCUCCACACUCCCCAUUCCCCUACUUCCUUCUCUCCUCGCUUCCUCUCUUCUCUCCUUUUCCUUCCCUUCUCCACUCUCCUUCUCUCCUCUCCCUGCCUCUUCUCUACUCCUCUCUCCCUCUCUUCCUUUCCCUCCCUCUCCCUUCCCUCUCCCUCCGUCUCUCCUUUUCCUCUCCUUCCCUCUCUCCCUUCUGUGCCCUCUCUCCCCCAUGUCUCUCCUGCUCCUUCUCUUCCUCCCCCCUUCCCCCCUCAUUCUCUCUCCUCUCCCACCCCUUCCCCCUCAUUCUCUCUGCUCUCCCACCCCCUUCCCCCCUCUUACCUCUCUCCCUCUCUCCCCAUUCUUUCUCCCUCUACCCUUCUCCUUCUCUGCUUCCCACUCCAAUUCUCCCUCUCUUCCUUCCCCCUCCCCUUCUCUCUGUCCCUCUCGCCCCCUCCCUCCUUUUCCCCUACCCUCUCUCCUUCUCUUCGGUUGUUCUUAUCUUAUCUAAGGGGCACUUUGCAAAGAGCUGAUGGUUCCCUAAAAGCAGUCCUGGGAAGAUUUGUAUGGCCAGUGGAAAUGCACAACCACAAUGCACACUUAUGGAGAAGAGGGCCAUGGGGAAUGCAGAAAUGAUUUGGGGUGGAUGCACUCCUCCCCCCACCCCUCACCUCACCCCCGGUUUAAAGAGAGACACUGUCUCUUUUCAACAUUUUAUGAAAUCCCAAAAAU